rnacentral:rRNA from 1 species
GACAGAGGGUGCAAACGUUGUUCGGAAUUACUGGGCGUAAAGCGUGUGUAGGCGGCCACGCAAGUCGGAUGUGAAAGCCCCGGGCUCAACCCGGGAAGUGCACCCGAAACUGCGUGGCUUGAGUAUCGGAGAGGUUGGUGGAAUUCUCGGUGUAGAGGUGAAAUUCGUAGAUAUCGAGAGGAACACCGGUGGCGAAGGCGGCCAACUGGACGAAUACUGACGCUGAGACACGAAAGCGUGGGGAGCAAACAGG